GUAGGUGGCAAGCGUUUUCCGGAAUUAUUGGGCGUAAAGCGCGCGCAGGCGGUUCUUUAAGUCUGAUGUGAAAGCCCACGGCUCAACCGUGGAGGGUCAUUGGAAACUGGAGAACUUGAGUACAGAAGAGGAAAGCGGAAUUCCACGUGUAGCGGUGAAAUGCGUAGAGAUGUGGAGGAACACCAGUGGCGAAGGCGGCUUUCUGGUCUGUAACUGACGCUGAGGCGCGAAAGCGUGGGGAGCAAACAGGGAUUAGAUACCCUGGUAGUCCACGCCGUAAACGAUGAGUGCUAAGUGUUAGGGGGUUUCCCGCCCCUUAGUGCUGCAGCUAACGCAUUAAGCACUCCGCUGGGGAUACGGCCGCAAGGCUG
rnacentral:rRNA from 1 species